CAACCUCAACUCAUAUGGGACUACCCCCUGAAUUUAAGCAUAUUAAUUAGGGGAGGAAAAGAAACUAACAAGGAUUUUCUUAGUAGCGGCGAGCGAAAAGAAAACAGUUCAGCACUAAGUCACUUUGUCUAUAUGGCAAAUGUGAGAUGCAGUGUAUGGAGCGUCAAUAUUCUAGUAUGAGAAAUUAAUGAUUUAAGUCCUUCUUAAAUGAGGCCAUUUACCCAUAGAGGGUGCCAGGCCCGUAUAACGUUAAUGAUUGCUAGAUGAUGUUUCCAAAGAGUCGUGUUGCUUGAUAGUGCAGCACUAAGUGGGUGGUAAACUCCAUCUAAAACUAAAUAUAACCAUGAGACCGAUAGUAAACAAGUACCGUGAGGGAAAGUUGAAAAGAACUCUGAAUAGAGAGUUAAACAGUACGUGAAACUGCUUAGAGGUUAAGCCCGAUGAACCUGAAUAUCCGUUAUGGAAAAUUCAUCAUUAAAAUUGUAAUAUUUAAAUAAUAUUAUUAAGAAUAAUGUGCAUUUUUUCCAUAUAAGGACAUUGUAAUCUAUUAGCAUAUCCCAAAUUUAUCAUAAAAUAUAACUUAUAGUUUAUUCCAAUUAAAUUGCUUGCAUUUUAACACAGAAUAAAUGUUAUUAAUUUGAUAAAGUGCUGAUAGAUUUAUAUUAUUACAGAGCGUUAAUUUUUCGGAAUUAUAUAAUGGCAUAAUUAUCAUUGAUUUUUGUGUUUAUUAUAUGCUCUUGUAUGAUUAACAAUGCGAAAGAUUCAGGAUACCUUCGGGACCCGUCUUGAAACACGGACCAAGGAGUCUAACAUAUGUGCAAGUUAUUGGGAUGUAAACCUAAUAGCGUAAUUAACUUGACUAAUAAUGGGAUUAGUUUUUUAGCUAUUUAUAGCUAAUUAACACAAUCCCGGGGCGUUCUAUAUAGUUAUGUAUAAUGUAUAUUUAUAUUAUUUAUGCCUCUAACUGGAACGUACCUUGAGCAUAUAUGCUGUGACCCGAAAGAUGGUGAACUAUACUUGAUCAGGUUGAAGUCAGGGGAAACCCUG
rnacentral:ncRNA from 1 species